rnacentral:snRNA from 1 species
GUGCUCACUUCGGCAACACCUAUACUAAAAUUGGAACAACAUAGAGAAGAUUAGCACGGCCCCUGCGCAAGGAUGACAUGCAAAUUCGUGAAGCAUUCCAUAUUUUU